GAGUUUGAUCGUGGCUCAGAUUGAACGCUGGCGGCAUGCCUUACACAUGCAAGUCGAACGGCAGCAUGAUCUAGCUUGCUAGAUUGAUGGCGAGUGGCGAACGGGUGAGUAAUACAUCGGAACGUGCCCUGUAGUGGGGGAUAACUAGUCGAAAGAUUAGCUAAUACCGCAUACGACCUGAGGGUGAAAGUGGGGGACCGCAAGGCCUCAUGCUAUAGGAGCGGCCGAUGUCUGAUUAGCUAGUUGGUGGGUAAAGGCCCACCAAGGCGACGAUCAGUAGCUGGUCUGAGAGGACGAUCAGCCACACUGGGACCGAGACACGGCCCAGACUCCUACGGGAGGCAGCAGUGGGGAAUUUUGGACAAUGGGCGAAAGCCUGAUCCAGCAAUGCCGCGUGUGUGAAGAAGGCCUCGGUGUAAGUACACUUGUCGUAACGAAGUAGACGUCUGUUAGUACUAGGGUCGAGUGACGGUACGGAACGGAAGUAAGG
rnacentral:rRNA from 1 species